UUACACCUCACUUGCAUCCAUUUAUAAGUGUCAACCUGCUGUUUCAGGUGCUGGUCUUCUCCUGGGAUGGCACAGUGUCCCUGAUGAACACUGCCGCAUCACAGAUUAUUUACUGCUUCUGUACUCCACCUCCUCACGCUGUAGCAUCACCCUGGCAGCCAGUGUUCACAGUGGACAGUGUGAAUUGGUGCCUGCUGCUUCAAGGAGAUAAGUAGCAGACGGCAGAUGUAUUGGCAGAGAGCAGAGCCAGAGACUGCACCAUCUUCAUUUUUGACUUCAACUGCAGCCCACUGAAGGACGCUUUCCCAAAGGAACCAGAUUUGCCUCUCAAAUCCUUGCAGAACCUGCCAUGGAUUGAGAGAUGUAACAUGUUCUUACAUGAUAGGCAGCAGAGCCUGCUGGGACUCGGGGAGCAGUUGCCUGAGUACUGGAGUCAGCUGCGGGCACAAGCAGCUGCCAUGGACAAGGAGAGACAGAAGGUAAAGGGAGAGAAGAAGCCACAGUCAGCCUUGCAUCCCGAGGGCCAGGCUCUGCGCUAUCACAGUCCUGCAGACCCAUGAUCCUGCACUGAUAUUUUGACAGCAACUCUGUUCAAAUCUAUCCUGCUGCUUUCCAGCCUGGGGCAAUUUGUCAUCCAAAAUAGCUGCUGCCUGCUGCUGCUCAGCUGCAAGGUCUAUGCCCUGCCUCUCUCUUUCCUGACCCUCAGCCUGUCCUAGCAGGGUUCAG
rnacentral:lncRNA from 1 species